UCCAAUAAAUAGUCGUUCGAUGUCAUUCUAUUUGUUUUUCGUUUGUAGCUUUUGCUGUGAUGGUAGGUUGGUGAUAGUCAGGGACCUGGAUCAUGUAAUUUCAUACAGUAAUAUUAUUAUGUCAAACACGCUGGUGAACAAGUUUAAAAAUUGAAAUAUUUUUAUAAACGAAGGUAAAAAUAUCACUUGGCACGAAGAAAGAAACUGAGAAAACUUGUUGUAUGAAUCUCAUCAUUGAAACUAUUUCUAUCGAGUCCAAAUAACGCUGCGGAAUAAGAAAAUACAGAUAAAUGCAAACAUCUUUCUCCGAAAUAAAUUCAAAGUACAUUAUCUUACAUUAUAAAACUAAAACAGAUAUUAUUACUGCAUUUUAAUACAAUUUUAUUAAAAUAUUAGAGAAGCGAUAGGAUCAAUAAUGUUGCUGCUUCAGGUAUCUUUGUCAACUACAAUCAAAAUCAUCGAUUACGCUUUAAUGAAUAGAUUAUCAGGCGAAGGUCUUCCUUUUACCCUCGUCUUUCGUUUUUCUCCCCUUUUACGAAGUGGUUAUCAUUUCAUCAAAUUAUUUGGUACUUGAAAAGUCGUUAAGAUAAUUAUUUAAUGGAGUCUACGCUUUCACUCUAAAUCUUUUGCGGUCGAAUUAUUCUGACUUUAUUCGGAUGACACUUCGAUCCUCUUUAUCAAUCUUAAUAUCGUUGUGGAAUAACGAGUACGGUAAAAUAUCAUCGUAAAAGCCUUGAAAGUAUCGUUAGGAAAUCGAAAUUAGUAGGAAGUAAAAAAAUCAGUGAUCUUUCGAUUCUUGAACCUAUCCCGACGAGUAAUAUGUAUUACGCAUGGCAACUUGACAGAUAUAUCAUAGGUGUCAGGAUUCAAAUAUUUUUCAAAAUAUAAUAAGUCUCUUGAGAAACAUGAGGUUCGCUGUGGGAAUUCUUACACGGGACGAAUCCUGGAUUUUACGAUUCUCACGAAAGCUACAUCCAUCCUACAUGCGUAUAUGCAUACAUACAUAUAGAAAAAUCGAAUUUUCUUUUCGACUGCAGACGUGAUAUGGGUAACGUAUUGACCUUAAUAUUUAUGAAAAUAUUUUACGAAUAACUUUGUAUUUCAUAUACCUAUGUGUGACGUUCAUAUACGUUCAAGACUUUUGAAAUUGUACAUACUGUUAACUGUCACGAUGAAAUACUUAUCUUGUGCGAAAGAAUGUACAUUAUGACUUCAAAUUACUAUUUAUCUUAUCCUACCACCAUAGACACAGUUUGAAAUUAACGAAGAUUGUGUAAGUGGCUACGAGCAACGUCGGAAAUAAACCAAUCACGAAUAACUCUAAAUUUUAAUCAUAACAUCAAAGUGAUGUAACAAAGAAGGCCUAAACAAAACCAAAGUCGAGGACAAACACGAUGUGGAUGAAUAUCUACGCUGGUACGAAGGUAAAGAAAAGGACAAUAAGCGGAACAGAGACGAGGACAAUGUCGAAGACAGCGACGGAGAUGGUAAUAUUGUACAGCGCUCGUCGACAUAGCAAUAACAAUAAUGAAAGCUAGAAGGAUUCUCCGAUGCCCUUGAUGUCGAGGCACGAUCCCCCACCCUCGUCUUCAGUUUCGGCUCUUCAGCUUCCUGGGAGAUUAGCAUGAAGCUGGAGAACAAGCGAACGAAGGGGAUGAAGCAGGGGAGCGUAUAAUCGAAUAACUAAACGAUUGUGUUUGCAGCUGCUCGGGAAUACUCGAUUACAGAACAGAUUUUUAGUCGCUGGGUUUAUGGGAUAUUUUCCGUAUCAUGUUACAUGUGGAGUAUAUCAAAAUGAUAACUCCUGCAUUUAGUAAGCUAUCGUAUACAUUAUACGGCUAUUUACGCGUUUCAAUACAAAAUCAAAAUUGUGGAGAAACAAAACAAUUUCUAUAAACAGAAGCAGAAGCUUACAAGUAACGUUAAAUAUCGCUAUAGUUCUCGAAAGCAACAAAUCAAAUUAAAGAUACGAAUAUUGAUAAAAUAAAAAAAAACAGGUUCCUCGUUAUCUAUUAUACAAAGGAAAAGAAAUAUAAAAAUAAAAAAUUAUAAAUUCGUAUAAAUAUCUGUAACAAUAACCCAAUGAUAAAUAUAUCGUCGAUAAUUGUCUUACUAAAGAAGAUCGUGGUAGCAGACUGUAUAUCAAAUCGAACGAUAGAUUCGAACAUCGAGUUCAAAGAUUUAUCAGAAAUUUUCUCUCGUAAUCCGACCAUCCAUUAAAGACUCCACUGCAUCCCGCUUUUCCGCUUUUUCGAACUCUCAUUCCCUUUUAAAGCUGCAGACUACUCUCGCUUCAAUAACUUAUUUAAAUAUUUGUACCCAUUAGUCAGCUUCUCUUCUUUUACGACUUCCGCGAUCGGCAAGCACGCUUAGUUAAUAACACGGUUCGACGGAGCAGGCCUUACAGAAUUAUUAAUCUCGAUACUGAUCGUACCUGUAGCUUUAUCGUUGCCACAGAAUCGGCGGUCAUCGCGCGACUAGCUAGGUUCGCGAGACAGGUUCAAUUGGCCGUAUAGGUGAGAAAGCGGUGGCGUCGAGGUUGCGCGCCGUCGCGUCGUCGUCGUCGUCGUCGAAGAGUAAUUAGUACGCAACGGUCGUGCCGAUAGCAACUUGCGAUAAGGCUAAUCGAAUCGGGCCUGCAAAUUACUUUCCACCUCCGGCCCGGUCCGCCGGUAAUUGAAUAACGUCCUUACGUCGCGCGUAAUUCGAUUGCUUUCGGGAUAAGCAGAUACCAGACUUGAGAACUGAGUAGAAAAGAGUGCCAGUGCGGGAAGAAAUGCGACCAAGUAAGGCAGUGUGAAAUUACCGCUCGCGAUCUAUUAAACUUCACGGUCGCGUGCAAUUGAGAAGAGACAACGAAAUGUUAUCAGUUUACCAUCACAUUGAAUCGCUCGUUUGUGAUAUGUAUAGACUUGUAACAAAGACAUAGGAAUUUUAAUAUACAACUUUCAACUAAGAUAACAUUCAACUUGGACGUAUAUUAUUAAUGUCGCAUUUUAUUUAUUUUCUUCGUAUUAAAUUUCAAUUGAAUAUUCCAAUUUUUGUUUUGUUUUGGAAAUAUUAAAAUGGUUACUCUGUUAUUAGAGCGUACCAAGGAAAACAGUAACCUGUUUCUAUUCUUUGUAAUUUGAAAAUGUCUGUAGCGUGUAUUAGUGCUUUAAUAAAUUCUAUAAAUAUUCCUCUUACAAUUAUUAACUCUUAGACGCUUUGUUCAUCAAUUUAAUCUGUUUAACAAGUUUUGAAAAGCGAUUAAUUAAUUCUUUUAGUUUUCUAUUUAUCGACUCUUAACCUUGCUUAUUAUAAGCAAGCGUUUUACAUCUCUCUAGAUACCAGCGUUCAAACUGUCAGUGUUUAGAAACAAGACUAGUUUAAACAGCUUCAUCGGUUAGUGGUUCGCGUGGACCUGAGGUAUAAACUCGGAGUAAUGUAAUUAAGAAGCUUACCACUGGCUCGCUUCAGAUUUCCCAAUUGACGCUGAAAUUUUCAAACUGCUAUUAAUCAAUAUUUACGUUUCUUCCGAAAUUACCAUCGAGCAUAGCCAAUAUCAUGGUAUACAGGACUCUUAAAACAAUAACGAUGAUAAAUAUACUUUUCUCAGGUGCAGAUCCCGAAGGCGAGUAACACAAAAAGUUAUCCCUCCGUUAGAAAUAAAAAUGUUUCAUCAAAAUAUUUACCGUGUUUCAUUGUCUCGAUAGUCGGAUAAUGCUUAAAGAACAAGUAUCCACGAUUCAGCGACCGCUCUUGGUGGCUCCCCAUGAUAAUUACUAAACAAACGGACAAACGAGCAAGGUCCUUCUUCUUCGCUUUUUCCUGGUUGAUGCUCGAGAGCUCUCGAACAAUGUGGUCGCGUGACAAUGACGUACUUCGCUGAAUGACCGUCGAGAGAGACGCCGUAUUUGCAGACGAACUGCUGUGACGUACAAAGACAUUUCGAUGUGAUUGUCCGGUCUAACUCGCUUCUUCUCCUAAAGUCAUCAGUCGAAUGCCAGAAAGGAAAAAAAGAAGAAAAGAGGCAAAGGAGGUAACGAAGAUGCCGAGGAAGAGGAGACGGAGAAUGAAAUCGUAGUAAAGGGAGAAAAAGGGAAAAUGGAAAAUAUGGUGGAGGACAUAGAGAGUAGAGUGACAGGUUUCCUUAUUGGGACGAACAACUGUCUGACCAGUUCAGACUAGACCGAUAGAAAUACCGAAGAAAACGAGCACUACGAAGCGUUUCUGCAUAUAUAAAAUAAAGUUGAAUUCAGAGAGAGAGAGAGAGAGAGAGAGAGAGAGAGAGAGAGAGAAUGAUGUCGCUUGUGCUUCUUUGACAAUCGAAUUUCUCUCAACAGUAAAGAGAGAAUAUCCUGCUGUUUUAAACGUAAUAAUCAGAGAAAUCGAAAUACAAAAAGCUCAGUAGCGAUAAAAAAAUUACGUUAUCUCGUCCGGUCGACAGACAGCAACGAUACUUUUCGAACUCUGAAUUUCCAGUUCAAAGAAGCGGAAGGAUUGCAAACUAUGGCGCACGCGAAAAGUUGACUAGCUGGUUGGAAAGAAGCAGUUGGAGACAAAGGGAAGGGAACAAGAAGAAAAGAGUAAGAUUCGAAGAGAAACGGAAGGUCCAGAUGCAUUAUAAAGGGACAGACAGGGGGUACCCCAACUACCGGGGCAACUCGAGCUGAUGGAACUGACUGCAAAGAAAGCUGUCGGACACCAUAUCCUCGUGCAGAGGAUAGCAUGGGGGUGGAGAUGGUAUUGGGUCCUAACGGGUAGAUUGCACCGGUAGCUUCGGGCCACGUUACAGGGGAUCGAAGAUGGCGGCACGGGAUGAGAAUGCAGCUGGUUUCCUGGACGCUCGGCUCCGGGCAGCGUAGUCGAACGAGGGUGGUGGAUAGUAGUGGAGUAGGUGGAGAGACAGAAAAGGGAAUAACGCAAGAAAACGAAGAGGGCGGACAGCUCACGGUCACCGUACAGUAGGCGCUUAAUUGUGUCGCGGAAAUACUCAGACAGACGGAUUCCUUUAAUAAUGUGCCCGACGGCGCGCUCAACCGAUUCACCCUCUUGACGUUUUCUUGUUUUCUUCUUUUCUCUUACGCCCCCUACCGCCGCGCAUCUCCUUUCACCGGUUCCAAUGUCGCUGGUCUUCCCUGUGGUGCAUGCGACUGGACCGUGCAAUUAAGUACACAGCCUGAAGGACGCAUCUUCCACGGGUUCAGUAGUCUUGCACGAUCGAACCAUCCAACUACAAGUACAUGAUUAGGAAUAUUGAAAGAGUGAUUUCGUGCUAUCGAGUUAUCCGCUUUCCAAUACCGGCGAUGAAGGACUUUCCUUCCGAUGAAAAGCUUUCACGGUGAAAGGGAGGCAAUUGCAGCUUUCCCUGUUUCAGGCAGCCUUGCGUUACACGAAGGAGUCUGUUUUAUCCCUGUGGCAGUUUAAAGUUACGAACAACGUUCUGUACGGUUUGAAAUAGAGAAUCGCGGUGGUGAUCGAACUACGUUGCAAUUAUACAACGUUCAACGCUUUAAUGCUAAAUUUGUACACCGAGGAUGCGAUCACGAAACAUUUAGUUUUAUUAUUAGAUAGGUUUCGUUUUUCAAAUACGCAUGAAAUUGUAGCAACGAGAAUUUAACGCGACUGUUUAUUACGAAUGAUUUACUGACUUUCAGUCAAAAAUUCAGAUGAUCGAUUUAUUGGCAAACUACCAUUUUCAUAUCCUCUGUCACCGUUAUUUAUCUUGAUGAAACUUCGUAAUCGAGCACCUUUUGAUUUUUUCUCUUUAUUUCUUAAGAAUUAUUAACUACUUGAAAAUUGUCUUUCUUCUGAUUGAAUAUGACCUGAUAAGCUUUCUGAACGUCUUGCGAAACUUCAUUAUCGUUAAUCUCGUUAUUGUUAAAAAGUCAGAGAAGGUGGUAAAAAAAUAAUUAAUUCUUUAUUAUCCUUCAUUCCAUCCUGAUGAUUUCUUUUAUGUCACUAUUUUAUUUCUUAUAUACUGCUCAUUUUCUUAUUGAGAAUCUACUUAUACUCAUAGAGUUAAUUUAA